rnacentral:rRNA from 1 species
GAUGAACGCUAGCGGCAGGCUUAAUACAUGCAAGUCGAGGGGCAGCAUGGGUGUAGCAAUACAUCUGAUGGCGACCGGCAAACGGGUGCGGAACACGUACACAACCUUCCUUUGACUGGGAGAUAACCCGGAGAAAUCCGGAUUAAUACCCCAUAGCAUGUUGGAUCGGCAUCGAUCUAACAUUAAAGCUCAGGCGGUUAAAGAUGGGUGUGCGUAUGAUUAGCUAGUUGGCGGGGUAACGGCCCACCAAGGCGACGAUCAUUAACUGGU